rnacentral:lncRNA from 10 species
AGGAUCUUACUGUUACCCAGGAUGAAGUACUGUGGCAUGAUCACAGCUCCCUGAAGCCUCAACCUCUCCAAGCUCAGGUGAUUUCUUCCACCUCAGCCUCCAAAGUAGCUGGGACUACAGGCAUGCGCCACUACACCCAGCUAAUUUUUUUGUGUGUUUUGGAGAGAUAGGGUUUCAUCAUGUUGCCCAGGCUGGUCUGAAACUCCUGGACUCAAGCAAUCUACCCACCUGGGCCUCCCAAAGUGCUAGGAUUACAGGCAUGAGCCACUACGCCCAGCAAGUUUUCCAGCUAAAUUAUGGAAAAGAAAAUACAUAAUGGAAACAGUACAGAAGAGAGGGACAUAUUUUAAAUGACAUCAUAUGGAUUUAACUGAAACCUGAAGCAUCAGAAUUGAAAUCUAAAGCAUCAGAAAUCAUAGUAGGAGACAAAUCAACUAAUUUGCUCAUCAGGUAUUUUCUGAAAAGGUGGAUUGCUGCUUCAAAGGACCUGGACCCAGAGGCCCUGUCCAUGAAUGUUUCUUGCUUGGUUCCGAGGCCACCAAACAUACUGGCUGAGCCUUCUGUAUUCACCCUGGCCUAUCAAUGCCAUCUAUGAGAGCAGCCACACUGAGAGAGCAGCAGCAUGGAGCCUACUCAAGGGUUUGUUUCAAAAAUAUAUGGAAAACAAGAAAAACCAAAAGAGGAAACCAUUUCUAAUGAGGAGACUAGUUCAAUUAUUCUGAAGUCAAGCCCUGCUAAUCAAGGAGCAAGAAAGACUGGCCAAAUUUGCAGUGCGGAGGUCCAGGAAAGAGCCUGGAUAGUGAGCAGGUUGUUUGCUGCCGACCCUAAAGAUGCAGGAAUCCAGCCAUGACCAUGCAGUUUUGGCCACACAAAUACCUUUGUUCAGAGAGGUUUUCAGCUGAGGUGACAUUUCUGCAAACAAAGUAGACUUGGCUUCCCUGGAAAGUGAUGGAACCAUUGAAAAGCCAGAAAAAUAAAGAGUUUUAAUGGAGUAAAAAUUACAAAUGCCACAUGGCAUAUGGGAUACAUUGUGAAGAAGUAAUCAUGAGACUAGAAGCCAUAGAUUUAAUAAGACUCGAUUCUCACCACAUGUACAAACAGAAUUAGGAAUAAAUCGCAUACAAUGAUCCCGGUAGAAGACACAAAACUUCCACGUCAGAGACAAAGGAUUUCAUUACUCAUGGCAAAAGCAGGAAUCAGAGCUUCACAUUUGCUGGUGUCAAUUUCUCAUACCCUCAAAUCCCAGAAGCAUGACACAAAAGAGUCCAUGAUGGAUGUCUGAAUACACAGUGGGCUGUGUUAGAAGAGAGUAACACUGAGCUCAGGUGAUCUCUGCUUCUGUAGUAAGCUUGCACUUUGUCUCGGGGGAGACAUUCCCUCAUCACUCAAGACUGUUCCCUGCAAACACAACCUUGAAUAAUGGCCCAGAAGAGUGGUGAGAGUUCUAAAUUCCUGGCACUUCCAGCAAGUAUGCUCAGGAACACCAGGGCCCAAAGUGGAUUGCCUCUUCCUAAAAAUAUGUUUAUGACUGAAGCCCUUUCCUUUAAAAUGUUAGGUGAAUAUGGAUCUUUUAUUUGCUGUCCUAUUUCAUUUUCAAUAAUUCUGAGUAUGACUCACCAAAAUGAUUUCACAAAAUAAUCUGUAGUAACCUUCAAUUUAAACAACAAACAAAUAAAAAAAAUUGCUAUGUUAAGUAUAUAUUUGAGAGUGUAAUUGCAGAAUUACAUUCUUCCUUAACAUACAAUGUGAAUGGUUUUAUAAAGUGAUUUGUCAGUUAUUUAUCAUUUGCUUUUCACAAGCGGUGUAUGAAUAUUCCCCUUGCCAUAUGUCUCCACCACCACUUGGUUUUGUCAGACAUUUAUUGUUUGAUAAUCAAAUACUGCAUAAUUAUAUCUGAUUUGGUUGUAAUUUGCAUUUUACUUAUUAUUAAUGAGGUUUAGCAUUGCCAUAUGUGUAUAAGUCAUUUGUUUUUCAUUGUCUGUUAAAUGUCUGCAUAUGACUUUGGCCCGUUUUAAAAUUGAGAUAUUUCUUUCUUUUAGAUUGAUACAUGAAUUAUUUACAUUUGUGAGUUAUGAAUAUUGUCAAUAACGUCUCACUGUAGAUCAAUUUUUCACUGAAUUUCUGGUAUCAUUUUAUAAAUUAAAUUUAUUUUAAUGUUUCAAGUAUUCUAUUUUAAA